UGUGCUUCAGGUUUUGUUUUCUCCUGCUCAUCCUGCUAGCAGUUGUCCCAUUUCAGCUCUCCACACAGAAUCUUCUCAAGUAACCUGAAGUAAUGUGGCUUAGUGGAUCGAUCAUGGUCCUGGGAGUCAAAAGGACCUGGGUUCUAAUUCUGAUGCAGCCACAUGUCUGCUGUUUGACCUUGGAAGGAGGGAAACAAGUAGAACAAGAGCAACAAAUGCCAGAACUGGAACCAGCAGCACUGAGAAGGAAGUAUAAUAAGGUUGGCCCCUGCCAAUGCUGGAUGGAACAAUACAAGCAAAAGGAAAAUGAAAAACGUUCCUGGCAAGGGACUGCUGAUUCCGCCAGCUUAAAAUGCAUUCCAGCCCACAUCACUGCAACCCAUAAUCUAUGUUUCCCUGGAGAAAAUACAGAUGUUUGUAAUAUUUUUCACUCUCUUUUUCAAAUGUACAAAUGAAAUGACUGUUAUUUUUAAAGAGUCCUCCAGGAUCUGCUAUUGCAAAUGUUUUAUACAAGAGUAAAAUUGCUGACUUCAAUGUAA